CAUUGUAGCUUGCUACAGAUGGCGACCGGCGCACGGGUGAGUAACGCGUAUGCAACCUGCCUUUUACAGGGGGAUAGCCGGAGGAGAAAUUUGGAUUAAUACCCCAUAGUAUCAAUUUACCGCAUGGUAAGUUGAUUAAAGAUUUAUCGGUAAAAGAUGGGCAUGCGUGGCAUUAGCUGGUUGGUAAGGUAACGGCUUACCAAGGCGACGAUGCCUAGGGGCUCUGAGAGGAUGACCCCCCACACUGGUACUGAGACACGGACCAGACUCCUACGGGAGGCAGCAGUGAGGAAUAUUGGUCAAUGGGCGAGAGCCUGAACCAGCCAUCCCGCGUGAAGGAAGACUGCCCUAUGGGUUGUAAACUUCUUUUCUGCACCAAGAACGUGCCCUACGUGUAGGGCAGUGACGGUAGUGCAGGAAUAAGCAUCGGCUAACUCCGUGCCAGCAGCCGCGGUAAUACGGAAGAUGCGAGCGUUAUCCGGAUUCAUUGGGUUUCAAGGGUGCGUAGGCGGCUUCUUAAGUCAGUGGUGAAAUC
rnacentral:rRNA from 1 species